rnacentral:rRNA from 1 species
AACGAACGCUGGCGGCGUGCCUAACACAUGCAAGUCGUGCGAGAAAGUUCCUUCGGGAGCGAGUAAAGCGGCGCACGGGUGAGUAACACGUAGGUAACCUGCCCCCAGUCUGGAACAACUAGAGGAAACUCUAGCUAAUGCCGGAUGAGACCACGAUCCCUUCGGGGGUUGCGGCCAAAGAUGGCCUCUACUUGUAAGCUAUCGCUGAGGGAUGGGCCUGCGGGCCAUUAGCUUGUUGGUGAGGUUACGGCUCACCAAGGCUGUGAUGGCUAGCUGGUCUGAGAGGAUGACCAGCCACACUGGGACUGAGACACGGUCCCAGACUCCUACGGGAGGCAGCAGUGGGGAAUA